UUCUUCUUUCUUUCUUUUCGUUGUUGAUCUUCUUCUUUUAAAUGUGUAGUCUUUCUUUCUCUCUCUUUCUUUGAAGAGGGGACAAAGAUGAGUGGAGGAAAGAAUAAGAGAAGAGAGAAGGGGUGGUGGGUGAUAUUGAUUGUUUGUUUUCUUUCUUU
rnacentral:ribozyme from 13 species